UUCUAUUAAAAUGCAGAAAAAAUGAAAAUAGUCGAUGCCUAAGAGGCUAGUGUUUAAAUUCGGCCCAAUUAAAAACAAUAACAACAGCCCAUAGUUUUUUGCCUUUUGCUAGUACAGAGAAACUCCAUCACUACGGAGCUCUCUUGAACCAAAUUGGGGAGAGCGAAAAUGUGUGGUGAUUCAUAUCUUCGAGUUCGUUGUAAGUACCGUCGUAGCUAUGGAAGGGAAGAACUGCUUCGCUAUUGCCAGUGAUCGGAGGCAUGGUGUGCAAUUACAAACCAUCGCUACUGAUUAUUUGUGAAUCUCUAAGAUCCACAACUUUUCGAUUUUGCUACUGAUGUCCAGUCAUUGGAAUUAAGAGACAUGAAGCCAGAAACUUUCGCUAGUCAUGUAUCUGCCAUUCUUUAUGAGAAAAGAUUUGGUCCAUACUUGUGUCAACCUGUGAUUGAUGAAUUGGGAGAUGAUAACAAACCCUUCACUUGCACAAUGGAUUCGAUUGCAGCCAAAUUCUAAGGAUUCCGUCACGGAAUCGCCAGUCAAAUCUUUGUUGAUGUCAUGAAGAACAAUAUGAAUGAAAGAUGAAAAAGAGGAAUAAUAAAGCUAAAUUCGAUUUUAUGUAGCGAGUAUCAAAUAUGGUAUGAUUCUAUUGAGAGAAAUUCGGAUCAAAAUCUCAAAUAAGGUAAGAUCCGAGAGUAUUAAUUCCGGGUCAAAAACAUUAAAUUUCCGGGUCAAAAUUAAACAAAAUUUUGACCCGAUUGGAUUCCUUAAAAGU